rnacentral:lncRNA from 14 species
CCAGGAGAAGUCAGCCCUUGGAACACAGUGUGGUGUCCUCCUGGCACCACUGCUUGCUCUUGUCGCCUGUGGGAGAUAGCCAGUAAAUGAUGCUAAAUAACCAGGCAGGAACUCUGUUCCAUCGCCAUCAGCUUUGUCACAUAGCCUCAUCUCUUCUUGGACCCAGGAGUUGUUUCUUGAGCACUUCAGGCUCUUCCAGAGAAAACAAAGCAUUGCCAAAGAGCAGGGCCCCUUCUGAAAGGAAGUUGAACGCCUUUUGACAGGUACCAAAAGACGUUACAAGUCUCCCAUAGUACAGAGAGGAAGUUGGAAACAAUGAAAGUGAUAUUCUUCUCGGUAGCAUCUGGCUGCAGGGGCUCAUUUUAUUACUGGUCCAGCUGGGAGCUCAGGCAGACACAAUGUCCCGUCAUCUUCCCAUUUUACAUGCUGUUAGGUUUGGCUUUGUUUGCCCCCCUGCUGUCCUACUGGAAACCUGUGGGCUUCCAGCAUAGGAAAGGUGGAUGUUGCACUCCAGAUGGAUCAUUCCAGAGAAAUGGCUUUGUCAGAUGAGAAGAAUUGGGCCUUGUCAACCAGAAGCCCUACGAGUGCAGAGAACAACAAUGCUGACCAUCAGUGCUCACAAGGGAACAGCAAGAAGCAGGCAGAACAGUCCACAAUAUCCUAUGAUUACUCGGAGGAGGAGCUCAUGGCAAGCAUCGAGCGGGAGUACUGCCGCUGAACCCAGCCCCUUGCCACGAGAACUUCAAGCUUGUUCCUGGAAGCCCAGCUGGAGCAAAACUGCUACUGACAAAACAGCCUCUCGCACGGUGGGAUGGCCUGGGAGAGGAGGGUGGCGAGGAGAGACGGAGCGUGAGAAGGCAGUGUUGCUGCUUGGGAAGCACGGGGGAGAAAGUCCUCCUGACCAGCUCUGCCUGAGAGCAUCAAGUUCCUCACCAGCUGCUGAGCAGUGCUCCUGGAAGAGGAGACAAUUCAUCCAUGAUUCAAUAUCUAGAUGCUUGUUUCUAAACUGUAUUUGCAAAUGAAGAUAUACUAGAAUUAAAGUGUCAUACUAGAAGUGUUGAAACAUAGUGCUUUGAGGGAAAAUCUUGUUUUGUCUUAGCAGAAAUGAAAUGUAGCAAUAGAAUUCCUGCAUAAUAAAUGCAGCAAUAUGAUUCA